UGCCCGGAUGGUGUGACGCGAAAUGUAUUGUCUUCGGUCAUGUCGGUCGCGGUUGAUUUGAACGCCAGUCAGUUGGAGUGUGAACUGCGUAGAAGAUCACCGGAACACUUUCUCCGAUUUCAAACAUAAAAUGCCUUCGAUAUUUCGGUAAUCAAGUCAAAACUGCUGCAGCAGAAGCGGUGAUGUACCAUGAGGCCGGCCUAUGAGAUGUGGUAGCGAGAAUGGUUGGUGUCAGUCUGCACAAGGACGAUGACGCAGUGUUAAGUUUGAACCGAAAGAAUGACCAAUUGCAUUCCCCGCGACUGACUCGCGGCAUCAUUCCAUCGAUGUAACAAGUCACCUGUCCUACUUCUCCAACCCACGGGACGAGGCCGCCAUGGAGACGAAAGUUAACAGUGGAUCAAGGGCACUCGUAUAUCAGGAUGAAUACGUGUAACAGUUUUAAAUGCCCUAGGAUAGAGUGUUCCGGGAAAGAAUGAUUUAUUUGCGCUUGAAGGUCAAGAGUCUCAGUAUACCCAUACCUUAGCCUGACAACAAUGAAUAAGAAGGACACUUUUUCCAGAUGAACAUUCAAAAAUGCUACACCGAUACGACAAUGGAAACAAUUUUCAUUUGAGAUAGAACCCUCGUGGACCAUUGCGACAUUUGCGGUCGGGUUCACAUACGAUUCACAUUGUCACGAUGUCGUGUUUCUCAUGUCACUUGCCUAAUAUAAUCCUACAAGGUGGCGCAUUAUCGCCCACUGCUGGGACUUUGUCUUGGCACGAUCUUCACUUUGGAAUAAAUUGAUCAGUUCAGGGCAGCCUAACCUGUCAUAUGAGUUGUCUGUCCCAUUCACAAACUUGAUCUUUAUUAUGCACUCAGCAGAUUAAAUCCAAUACUUGAAUAAAUUUCAA